rnacentral:rRNA from 1 species
UGAACGCUGGCGGCGUGCUUAACACAUGCAAGUCGAACGAGAAAGGAUCUGCUUGCAGAUCUGAGUAGAGUGGCGCACGGGUGAGUAACGCGUGGAUAAUCUACCUUUGAAUUUGGGAUAACAUUGCGAAAGCGGUGCUAAUACCGGAUGAAGUUAUAGAUUUUUCGGGAUUAAUAAUGAAAGAUAGCCUCUGCUUGCAAGCUAUUGUUUGAAGAUGAGUCCGCGUACCAUUAGCUAGUUGGUAGGGUAAGAGCCUACCAAGGCAUCGAUGGUUAGCUGGUCUGAGAGGAUGAUCAGCCACACUGGAACUGGAACACGGUCCAGACUCCUACGGGAGGCAGCAGUGAGGAAUUUUGCGCAAUGGGCGAAAGCCUGACGCAGCAACGCCGCGUGAGUGAUGAAGGCUUUUGGGUCGUAAAGCUCUGUCAAUGGGAAAGAAAGUAUAUAGUAUUAAUAGUAUUAUGUAUUGACGGUACCCAUGAAGGAAGCACCGGCUAACUCC